rnacentral:rRNA from 1 species
GAUGAACGCUGGCGGCGUGCUUAACACAUGCAAGUCGAACGGGAAUUACUUUAUUGAAACUUCGGUCGAUAUGAUUUAAUUCUAGUGGCGGACGGGUGAGUAACGCGUGGGUAACCUGCCUUAUACAGGGGGAUAACAGACGGAAAUGACUGCUAAUACCGCAUAAGCGCACAGGACCGCAUGGACCGGUGUGAAAAACUCCGGUGGUAUAAGAUGGACCCGCGUUGGAUUAGCUAGUUGGUGAGGUAACGGCCCACCAAGGCGACGAUCCAUAGCCGGCCUGAGAGGGUGAACGGCCACAUUGGGACUGAGACACGGCCCAGACUCCUACGGGAGGCAGCAGUGGGGAAUAUUGCACAAUGGGGGAAACCCUGAUGCAGCGACGCCGCGAGAAGGAAGAAGUUAUCUCGGUAUGUAAACUUCUAUCAGCAGGGAAGAAAAUGACGGUACCUGACUAAGAAGCCCCGGCUAACUACGUGCCAGCAGCCGCGGUAAUACGUAGGGGGCAAGCGUUAUCCGGAUUUACUGGGUGUAAAGGGAGCGUAGACGGAUGGACAAGUCUGAUGUGAAAGGCUGGGGCUCAACCCCGGGACUGCAUUGGAAACUGCCCGUCUUGAGUGCCGGAGAGGUAAGCGGAAUUCCUAGUGUAGCGGUGAAAUGCGUAGAUAUUAGGAGGAACACCAGUGGCGAAGGCGGCUUACUGGACGGUAACUGACGUUGAGGCUCGAAAGCGUGGGGAGCAAACAAGAGUAGAUACCCUGGUAGUCCACGCGGUAAAC